UUUGAAAUCCAGUUAUCUUUGAAAUGCUUUCAUAAGAAGAUUGCAUGGUUAAGGUUCAGCAAAGAAAACUUAACCUACAUAACAUUAGGAAAGAGUGAAGAAACAGAGAUGAGAUUGGUGACUGAAAAAGUAUUGAGAGAUGUAAGAAUGAGCAUGAUAGGAUUUUGCAGGCAGACAUAAUGUCUUUUAUGAGAUCAGCUGAGGUAGGUAGGGAAACAAGCUUUUAAUCCCUGUGAUACUGCUCUAAGUCUGUGAGAAAACUAUCUUAUCAUGUUUUCAAACCAUUACAGUUAAAACUCAGCAUUUAGAAAAUGAGACUCUCCUUCCUGAGAUGUGAAGCAUCAAACUUCAUCUUGGUACUUAACAUGUAUACUGCAAUAGUUGAAAUUCAGGUCUUGAACACAUGCCCCAGAAAAAUCAUUCUGAUAAAGUGAGAAAAUCUGGUGACAAUGAUGAAUGCCAAGAAGAAUGUGAUACUUGUCUGCCAUAAGCAGAGAUUAUAAUUUUAACUGAUCUUUGUUGCCAUUUACCCCUAGAAAUGCCUGAGAGAAAGAGGUUGCUAGAAUCAAAGUGGAAAGGCUGAGACAAAUAUAUCAGCCUUUGGGAUAGAUGAAAAUAGCAUGAUUGAGGGUUGCUUGGAUGUCUUGGGGAUGCUUUUCAAGCUUUUGACAGUGUCAGUCAGAGUAAAACAAAGGUGAUUUUUCUUGUUGACAGUACUAGCUGAUUGUUACUUGUAU